rnacentral:rRNA from 1 species
UACGAAGGGGGCUAGCGUUGCUCGGAAUCACUGGGCGUAAAGGGUGCGUAGGCGGGUCUUUAAGUCAGGGGUGAAAUCCUGGAGCUCAACUCCAGAACUGCCUUUGAUACUGAAGAUCUUGAGUUCGGGAGAGGUGAGUGGAACUGCGAGUGUAGAGGUGAAAUUCGUAGAUAUUCGCAAGAACACCAGUGGCGAAGGCGGGUCUCUGGAC